rnacentral:rRNA from 1 species
UACCAGCACCCCGAGUGGUCGGGACAAUUAUUGGGCCUAAAGCAUCCGUAGCCGGUUCUACAAGUCUUCCGUUAAAUCCACCUGCUUAACAGAUGGGCUGCGGAAGAUACUAUAGAGCUAGGAGGCGGGAGAGGCAAGCGGUACUCGAUGGGUAGGGGUAAAAUCCGUUGAUCCAUUGAAGACCACCAGUGGCGAAGGCGGCUUGCCAGAACGCGCUCGACGGUGAGGGAUGAAAGCUGGGGGAGCAAACCGG